GGGCCCGUGGUGCAGCCAGGUUAGCACACCGGCCUGUCAAGCCGGAGGUCGCGGGUUCAAGUCCCGUCGGGCCCGCCA
rnacentral:tRNA from 1 species